rnacentral:rRNA from 1 species
UACGGAGGAUCCGAGCGUUAUCCGGAUUUAUUGGGUUUAAAGGGUGCGCAGGCGGGGGAUUAAGUCGGCGGUGAAAUUUUGCAGCUCAACUGUAAAAGUGCCUUCGAAACUGGUUUCCUUGAGUGUAGAUGAAGUAGGCGGAAUUUGUGGUGUAGCGGUAAAAUGCAUAGAUAUCACGAGGAACUCCGAUUGCGCAGGCAGCUUACUAAACUACUACUGACGCUCAGGCACGAAGGCGUGGGGAUCAAACAGGAUUAGAUACCCUGGUAGUCCCU